UGUCGGCGACCGGCGCACGGGUGAGUAACACGUAUGCGACCUGCCCCCGCAGGGGGAUAACCGGGAGAAAUCCCGACUAAUACCGCGUAACGCCGCGGACCUGCAUGGGUCUGCGGCCAAAGGAAGCGAUUCCGGCGGGGGAUGGGCAUGCGGCGCAUUAGCUAGUCGGCGGGGUAACGGCCCACCGAGGCGACGAUGCGUAGGGGUUCUGAGAGGAAGGUCCCCCACACUGGUACUGAGACACGGACCAGACUCCUACGGGAGGCAGCAG
rnacentral:rRNA from 1 species